rnacentral:lncRNA from 1 species
ACUCUCGGCCCUCUUCAGCCACUCCCUCCCCAACCCACACGCCAUCAACCUCCAGACCCUCUCGCCGUGGCUUAGAGGUGUCUCUGACAACGUGGCACACUGGGAAGGCCUUCUUUCCUGCUACCAAUACAAAUGCAUUCUGAAUUUGAUAUGUCAUUAAAUGUAAAAAUACAGCCAAUUUGAAACAAGCAAAUGGAAAUUCCCAGGAACCAAAAACAGAAAGAAAAAUCAGAGCUACCGCAGUGCUGUCCCUGCAGACAGAAUUUGGGAGAGGUACUCAGAGUCACCUCCUGUGAGCCUAUGCAAGCCAGCUCCUGCACAACCCUGGUUUUAGUCCAGGUUGUCUUGUGGUAGAGGAGAUUUUGCCUUGCAAUUUUACAUACUUAUGCUACGUGGAAGGCUGGGUGGCGUGACUUCAGAAAAAUGUUUCCUCAGGAAAGAGACACACAGAGAGAGAGAGAAAGAGAGAAAGAGAGAACCCACCUACCUGUUUUGCAAAAGUCUCAUGAAUCAUCCCUUCCUGUGGUCCUGCUCCCUGAGAUCCUUUCACCGCUCACAGUGGGCUACUUCUAAGAGCGUGCCUGGCACAGGGUCACUGAGAGCAUAGUCUUAAUAAAACAAUGAUGGAUGCUUGUCUCUCUCA